GAUGAACGCUGGCGGCGUGCCUAAUACAUGCAAGUCGAGCGAACAGACGAGGAGCUUGCUCCUCUGACGUUAGCGGCGGACGGGUGAGUAACACGUGGAUAACCUACCUAUAAGACUGGGAUAACUUCGGGAAACCGGAGCUAAUACCGGAUAAUAUAUUGAACCGCAUGGUUCAAUAGUGAAAGACGGUUUUGCUGUCACUUAUAGAUGGAUCCGCGCCGCAUUAGCUAGUUGGUAAGGUAACGGCUUACCAAGGCAACGAUGCGUAGCCGACCUGAGAGGGUGAUCGGCCACACUGGAACGGAGACACGGUCCAGACUCCUACGGGAGGCAGCAGUAGGGAAUCUUCCGCAAUGGGCGAAAGCCUUACGGAGCAACGCCGCGUGAGUGAUGAAGGUCUUCGGAUCGUAAAACUCUGUUAUUAGGGAAGAACAAAUGUGUAAGUAACUAUGCACGUCUUGACGGUACCUAAUCAGAAAGCCACGGCUAACUACGUG
rnacentral:rRNA from 1 species